UUAUAAGGAAGGCGGCGGUCCUCUCUCUCAGCCUUUCUCUCCAGAAGGACGAGGCAGUGGUAUUUCUGGUCUUGUAAACACUGAAUUGUAUGAGACCU
rnacentral:lncRNA from 1 species